UAGGGAAUCUUCCGCAAUGGACGCAAGUCUGACGGAGCAACGCCGCGUGAGUGAAGAAGGAUUUCGGUUCGUAAAACUCUGUUGUUAGAGAAGAACAGCGCAUAGAGUAACUGUUAUGCGUGUGACGGUAUCUAACCAGAAAGCCACGGCUAACUACGUGCCAGCAGCCGCGGUAAUACGUAGGUGGCAAGCGUUGUCCGGAUUUAUUUGGCGUAAAGCGAGCGCAGGCGGUCAAUUAAGUCUGAUGUGAAAGCCCCCGGCUCAACCGGGGAGGGUCAGUGGAAACUGGUUAACUUGAGUGCAGAAGAGGAGAGUGGAAUUCCAUGUGUAGCGGUGAAAUGCGUAGAUAUAUGGAGGAACACCAGUGGCGAAGGCGACUCUCUGGUCUGUAACUGACGCUGAGGCUCGAAAGCGUGGGUAGCAAACAGG
rnacentral:rRNA from 1 species